UGCAAGUCGAACGGUGAAGGUGGAACUUGCUCUGCUGGAUCAGUGGCGAACGGGUGAGUAACACGUGAGUAACCUGCCCCUCACUUCGGGAUAACCUCGGGAAAUCGUGGCUAAUACCGGAUACGAGGCACCUUCGCAUGGGGUGUGCCUGGAAAGAUUUAUCGGUGGGGGAUGGACUCGCGGCCUAUCAGCUUGUUGGUGGGGUAAUGGCCUACCAAGGCGACGACGGGUAGCCGGCCUGAGAGGGCGACCGGCCACACUGGGACUGAGAUACGGCCCAGACUCCUACGGGAGGCAGCAGUGGGGAAUAUUGCACAAUGGGCGCAAGCCUGAUGCAGCGACGCCGCGUGGGGGAUGAAGGCCUUCGGGUUGUAAACCCCUUUCAGCAGGGAAGAAGCGCAAGUGACGGUACCUGCAGAAGAAUCGCCGGCUAACUACGUGCCAGCAGCCGCGGUAAUACGUAGGGCGCAAGCGUUGUCCGGAAUUAUUGGGCGUAAAGAGCUCGUAGGCGGUUUGUCGCGUCUGGUGUGAAAACUCAAGGCUCAACCUUGAGCUUGCACCGGGUACGGGCAGACUAGAGUGCGGUAGGGGUGACUGGAAUUCCUGGUGUAGCGGUGGAAUGCGCAGAUAUCAGAGGAACACCGAUGGCGAAGGCAGGUCACUGGGCCGCAACUGACGCUGAGGAGCGAAAGCAUGGGGAGCGAACACGAUUAGAUACCCUGGUAGUCCAUGCCGUAAACGUUGGGCACUAUGUGUGGGGCUCAUUCCACGAGUUCCGUGCCGCAGCAAC
rnacentral:rRNA from 2 species